rnacentral:rRNA from 1 species
UGAGUUUGAUCCUGGCUCAGAACGUACGCUGGCGGCACGCCUAACACAUGCAAGUCGAACGGAGUAGCAAUACUUAGUGGCAGACGGGUGAGUAACAUGUAGGUAUCUUCCCUUUGGCCUGGAAUAACACGAGGAAACUUGUGCUAAUACUGGAUAAGUCUUUACGGAGAAAGCUUUAUGCACCAUUGGAUGAGCCUGCACUUGAUUAGUUUGUUGGUGGGGUAAAGGCCUACCAAGACUGUGAUCAAUAGCUGAUUUGAGAGGAUGAUCAGCCACAUUGGGACUGAGACACGGCCCAAACUCCUACGGGAGGCAGCAGUGGGGAAUCUUGCACAAUGGAGGAAACUCUGAUGCAGCGAUGCCGCGUGAGUGAAGAAGGCCUUUGGGUCGUAAAGCUCUUUCGUCGGGGAAGAAAAUGACUGUACCCGAAUAAGAAGGUCCGGCUAACUUCGUGCCAGCAGCCGCGGUAAUACGAAGGGACCUAGCGUAGUUCGGAAUUACUGGGCUUAAAGAGUUCGUAGGUUGUUGAAAAGGUUGGUGGUGAAAUCCCAGAGCUUAACUCUGGAACUGCCAUCAAAACUUUUCAGCUAGAGUUUGAUAGAGGAAAGCAGAAUUUCUAGUGUAGAGGUGAAAUUCGUAGAUAUUAGAAAGAAUACCAAUUGCGAAGGCAGCUUUCUGGAUCAUUACUGACACUGAGGAACGAAAGCAUGGGUAGCGAAGAGGAUUAGAUACCCUCGUAGUCCAUGCCGUAAACGAUGUGUGUUAGACGUUGGAAAUUUAUUUUCAGUGUCGCAGCGAAAGCGAUAAACACACCGCCUGGGGAGUACGACCGCAAGGUUAAAACUCAAAUGAAUUGACGGGGACCCGCACAAGUAGUGGAGCAUGUGGUUUAAUUCGAAGAUACGCGCAGAACCUUACCAACACUUGACAUGUUCGUCGCGACUUUAAGAGAUUAAAGUUUUCGGUUCGGCCGGACGAAACACAGGUGCUGCAUGGCUGUCGUCAGCUCGUGUCGUGAGAUGUUGGGUUAAGUCCCGCAACGAGCGCAACCCUCACUUUUAGUUGCCAUCAUUUAGUUGGGCACUCUGAAAGAACUGCCAGUGAUAAGCUGGAGGAAGGUGGGGAUGACGUCAAGUCCUCAUGGCCCUUACGUGUUGGGCUACACACGUGCUACAAUGGUAUCUACAACAGGAAGCAAAACGGCGACGUUAAGCAAAUCCUUAAAAGAUACCUCAGUUCGGAUUGUACUCUGCAACUCGAGUACAUGAAGCUGGAAUUACUAGUAAUCGUGGAUCAGCGUGCCACGGUGAAUGCGUUCCCGGGUCUUGUACACACCGCCCGUCACACCAUGGGAGUUGGUUCUACCUUAAGGCAAGGUUUAAAACCCUUGACCACGGUAUAGUCAGCGACUGGGGUGAAGUCGUAACAAGGUAGCCGUAGGGGAACCUGCGGCUG